CGGCGGGCUGCUACACAAUGUUUCCCUUCAGUCGGGAGGGGAAAUGGAGGGAGGCCAGACUUCCUGAUCACAUGAUGCUGAAGUCAAUGAAAAAAAAUGAAGGGGGACCCCUCCCAUGCGCUGGGGUGCGCGGGCCAGGGCCCCCCACCCACCCCCUCGGGCCGCGCGGCCGGGGAAGCGCAGGCUCGCGGGCGGGCGCGGGGCCAGGCGCAGGACGGGGCAAACAUAAACACCAGAUCGGUGCAGUAAUUGGCGGCUCCGAGAUCGCUGAGGAAAUGAGAGGCUUGUACGAAACAUCAGCCGACAAGAAACGGGGUGAUGUCAGACAGCCUUCCAGGAUUAGAAACCCUUAAAAGCUCCGAGCCCGCGGCGGCUGCGGAAAAGCGCGCUCCUCUCUGGCUCUCCGGCAGGUGUUGCCACUUUGGGAGGUUGUGGAGCCGCUAAGAAGCAGAUCCUAACUGGAGCAAGUGGGUCACAAGAGACAGGAAGAUUGGAAGCUGAUGUCCACUUCUGGUUCUGACUCAAGCACUCUACUUCCUGAUCUGCCAACAUAUGAAUAGAAUAGUCUGCAAGCUUCUGCCACCACCAAGAACUGAACCACUUGGGUAGCCAUGCUUGCCCUGUCAUGAUGAACUAUAUCCCUGGAAGUUGUAUGCAAACAUAAAUCAUUUCUUCCUUGAGUUGCUUCUUUCAGAUUCUUUCCAAUAGUGAGAAGAAAAG
rnacentral:lncRNA from 1 species